UGGGGAAUUUUGGACAAUGGGCGAAAGCCCGAUCCAGCAAUGCCGCGUGUGUGAAGAAGGCCUUCGGGUUGUAAAGCACUUUUGUCCGGAAAGAAAUCCUUGGCUCUAAUACAGUCGGGGGAUGACGGUACCGGAAGAAUAAGCACCGGCUAACUACGUGCCAGCGGCCGCGGUAAUACGUAGGGUGCAAGCGUUAAUCGGAAUUACUGGGCGUAAAGCGUGCGCAGGCGGUUUGCUAAGACCGAUGUGAAAUCCCCGGGCUCAACCUGGGAACUGCAUUGGUGACUGGCAGGCUAGAGUAUGGCAGAGGGGGGUAGAAUUCCACGUGUAGCAGUGAAAUGCGUAGAGAUGUGGAGGAAUACCGAUGGCGAAGGCAGCCCCCUGGGCCAAUACUGACGCUCAUGCACGAAAGCGUGGGGAGCAAACAGGAUUAGAUACCCUGGUAGUCCACGCCCUAAAACGAUGUCAACUAGUUGUUGGGGAUUCAUUUCCUUAGUAACGUAGCUAACGCGUGAAGUUGACCGCCUGGGGAGUACGGUCGCAAGAUUAAAACUCAAAUGAAUUGACGGGGUCAUAGCUGUUUCCU
rnacentral:rRNA from 1 species